rnacentral:rRNA from 1 species
GAUGAACGCUGGCGGCGUGCCUAAUACAUGCAAGUCGAGCGAACAGAUGAGGAGCUUGCUCCUCUGACGUUAGCGGCGGACGGGUGAGUAACACGUGGAUAACCUACCUAUAAGACUGGUAUAACUUCGUGAAACCGGAGCUAAUACCGGAUAAUAUAUUUAACCGCAUUGUUCAAUAGUUAAAGACGGUUUUGCUGUCACUUAUAGAUGGAUCCGCGCCGCAUUAGCUAGUUGGUAAGGGAACGGCUUACCAAGGCAACGAUGGGUAGCCGACCUGAGAGGGUGAUCGGCCAAAAGGGAAGGGAGAGAGGGAACAGAAUACUACGGGAGGAAGCAGAAGGGAAUAUUACGCAAUGGGCGAAAGCAUGACGGAGCAAAGCCGCGGGAGUGAUGAAGGUGUUCGGAUCGUAAAACUCUGUUAUGAGGGAAGAACAAAUGUGUAAGUAAAUAUGCACGUAUUGACGGUACCUAAUCAGAAAGCAACGGCUAACUACGUG